ACCCUGCCUCCUUAUAUAAGGGGGGGGUGGGGCGGGAGACAAACCCUGUGGACACGUCCCAGAAAAUGGGAAACCGAAUCACCAAAGGGAUGGCAAGGGGUGAUCAGAGAGAGAGAAAGUUCCAAUCCCUUCCACACACGAGCAGCCCCAUUUGGAAAAGAACGGAUUUAACAGACCUCACCAAGACAAGAGUCAUUUUUCACCAGAGAAAAUCAAAGGAAAAAGCAAGAGGCAGCGACUACCGGAGACUCCACCUUCUGGUCUAGCAAGAUUCAAGCAGAGAGUGGCUUCAUCCAGCAAAGCCCCAAUGAAUCACAUAUUUAUUGAGUAAAAAGCCACAGACUGUUUCCUACCAAAGCCUUAGAUCGCCACGUACGUCUGAUUGCUCCAGAGACAAACCAAUGUGAUUUUCAGCCCAACAUGUUUUUUAUCAUAACAAGUCUUAACCAAGAACAAUAGCAGUCACCCCAGUUUAAUUCCUAGAGGAAUUCAAACCACCUUGUUAAGAAAAUUCCCAGAGGAGAUUGUACACGAAAGAACAUCCCAUAAUGCUGUCUGUCAUCUCUAGGUUCUCUAAAAGCAAGGCCAGCCUUUUUUUUUGGCGGGGGGGUAAAGGAGUGCCUGAUAUAGGGGAAUAUGGUUGGAUGGAUGAAGUAAGGAGAACUUUACCCUGAAGAGCAAUGCUUGGAAGGACAGAAGCACUUGAACUGAAGAAUCUGAUCGAGGUGACCAUCGUCCACAGCCAGUUCCUUUUCUAUCUCUUAAAAUUGCAGAUUGAGUGAUUGCCACAAUCGUGAGUGCCAAGGAACAGGUCUUUCCCAAUAAAGUUUCCCUUGGUCCCACAGGAGGCUCUGUGAGCCAGUGCUUUAGACAAUGCAUAGUUCUUUCUUCCUCUAGGCAACUGCUUUUCCUGAACACUCCACUCUGCUGCUGGCGAGUUUGGCCCACAGCGGUAGCUAAAUACGUGUGCAGGGAGUGCAUACUUUUAUGGCCUUUGUCAUUAUUUAUGAACUAACUUCAAAGGGAAGUCAUUUCCAUCCAGAAAACCUGACAUAGGCUUUUCCUUCCCCACCCAUGCAUAGAGAUAAGUAACUCUGCUUUCUCACUAUUCCGGUGAGCAGGAGACAAUGUUUUCCGGAUGCUGUUAUGGGCAGCACCAAGCUACCUACCGUGUCUCCCAGAAAAGCCAAACGGCCCAGAGGUUCCAUUUCUAAGCCACUCUCUAGUCCCCAAACAUGUCACCAUCUCUCAUACCUCCUGACCUUGGCCCAUGCUGCCUCUUGGUGGAAAAGAGCCCCACCUCCAUCCUCCCUUCACAGUCCCUACAACCAGAAGAUCUGGGUCCAGAUCAAAUGGCCCAGAUCCUCCUCUCUAAAUGAUUCCUUCUAAGAAGGAGUCCCUCCUCCCUCUCCUGUUUAUCCCCUCCACUACAGUGAGGGCUCCCUGAGGGCAAGGACUGGUCCCAUUCUUAUUGAAUAAUGGGCUGGAUCACAUGCCCUGGCAUCUGCAGUAGACAUAUGCCAAGGUGAACAGUGGGACAGAAGCCAAGAUCCUUGUGCCCUGCAAACCUUCACUGCCAGCUUAAGCUCUUCCAAAGUAAAAACUGACUUUUAAAAACCAGCAAAUAAGCAUGGACAUGCUUCCUCAUGGCUACUGCAGAGCACGAGAUAGCACGGAAACACCUGAUGCCUCUUGCUAACAACUGGCACUUCUUCUGUUGACCAAAAUGAGAGACAUCACAGAGACUACCUGGCCAUGAUCAAGAGGUGCCUGAAGUGAGCAUCUCCCAGAGAGUUCUGGCCAAGGCUUUGCGAUCGGCUCACUGGAAAACCUAGAGCAAGUACCUCCUUCCUCUGCUUCAAUGUUUCCAUCUGAAAAUGAAAGGAAAGCCCUUUCCAAAAUAAAAAUAAUGAUUAAAGUAAGA